UGAGGAAUAUUGGUCAAUGGACGCAAGUCUGAACCAGCCAUGCCGCGUGAAGGAUGAAGGCCUUCUGGGUUGUAAACUUCUUUUAUCUGGGAAGAAAACUACGGUUUCUACUGUAGCCGACGGUACCAGAGGAAUAAGCACCGGCUAACUCCGUGCCAGCAGCCGCGGUAAUACGGAGGGUGCAAGCGUUAUCCGGAUUUACUGGGUUUAAAGGGUGUGUAGGCGGGCUUUUAAGUCAGUGGUGAAAUCUCCGGGCUCAACCCGGAAACUGCCAUUGAUACUAUUAGUCUUGAAUUUUGUUGAGGUAGGCGGAAUAAGUCAUGUAGCGGUGAAAUGCUUAGAUAUGACUUAGAACACCAAUUGCGAAGGCAGCUUGCUAAACAAAUAUUGACGCUGAGGCACGAAAGCGUGGGGAUCAAACA
rnacentral:rRNA from 1 species